GCUCCCGCUCCCCCUUCCACUUGCUCAGAACACCCGGCCUCAAAUCGGAUGAGAUUUCCUUCUCCCCGCUUCUGACAGACAAAUCAAAUUCAGAGGAAAUGCAGAAAGCUCUGUCAGAGGGUCUCAAUCAGAUCCAGACUGGAGGAAAAACAUCAUUUUGGACUGAGAUGUGGCCUGAAGUGAGGUUGUUGGAGCUGGCUGAAGAUGCUGUGUCCAGGACAGGACAUGUGCUGCCUUCUUCCCACACAGGCACCUGUGUUUGGACACUGGAGACAGGACCUACAGAACAUCAGUACCUAAAGGCAGAGGAGAUCUUGCUCCCAGCAAGUCCAUGCUGCUGCUCAGCCACCUCAAAAGAAGCUGAUGAGAGCUCUGCAGGGCUGUUACUGAGUGAAAGAUCAAGUCAUUUGUAUUCUCUUCCGUGGUCAAUAAGAGAAAUUGAGUGAUUCAUAUCUCAUCAAUUAUUCCUCUGUGAGAUUUUUUUGUCUGAGUAGAAGAGACCUCCUUUUUGGAACAUAUGGGUGAGUCAAACUGCAAUAGGAAGAAAGCACGUC